rnacentral:rRNA from 1 species
GACGAACCGUGCGAACGUUGUUCGGAAUCACUGGGCUUAAAGGGCGCGUAGGCGGGCGGCCGAGUCCGGGGUGAAAGCCCCCAGCUCAACUGGGGAAGCGCCUCGGGUACCGGCCGUCUCGAGGGAGGUAGGGGCGUGCGGAACUUCCGGUGGAGCGGUGAAAUGCGUAGAUAUCGGAAGGAACACCGGUGGCGAAAGCGGCGCGCUGGACCUCUUCUGACGCUGAGGCGCGAAAGCCAGGGGAGCAAACGGG